rnacentral:rRNA from 1 species
UACAGAGGGGGCUAGCGUUGUUCGGAAUUACUGGGCGUAAAGGGCGCGUAGGCGGCCCUCUAAGUCGAACGUGAAAUCCCCUGGGCUCAACCCAGGAACUGCGUCCGAUACUGGUUGGCUUGAAUCCGGGAGAGGGACGUGGAAUUCCAGGUGUAGCGGUGAAAUGCGUAGAUAUCUGGAGGAACACCGGUGGCGAAGGCGACGUCCUGGACCGGCAUUGACGCUGAGGCGCGAAAGCCAGGGGAGCAAAGCGGG